rnacentral:rRNA from 1 species
GACGAACGCUGGCGGCGUGCCUAAUACAUGCAAGUUGAGCGCUGAAGGUUGGUACUUGUACCAACUGGAUGAGCAGCGAACGGGUGAGUAACGCGUGGGGAAUCUGCCUUUGAGCGGGGGACAACAUUUGGAAACGAAUGCUAAUACCGCAUAAAAACUUUAAACACAAGUUUUAAGUUUGAAAGAUGCAAUUGCAUCACUCAAAGAUGAUCCCGCGUUGUAUUAGCUAGUUGGUGAGGUAAAGGCUCACCAAGGCGGUGAUACAUAGCCGACCUGAGAGGGGGAUCGGCCACAUUGGGACUGAGACACGGCCCAAACUCCUACGGGAGGCAGCAGUAGGGAAUCUUCGGCAAUGGACGAAAGUCUGACCGAGCAACGCCGCGUGAGUGAAGAAGGUUUUCGGAUCGUAAAACUCUGUUGGUAGAGAAGAACGUUGGUGAGAGUGGAAAGCUCAUCAAGUGACGGUAACUACCCAGAAAGGGACGGCUAACUACGUG